rnacentral:rRNA from 1 species
GAUGAACGCUGGCGGCGUGCCUAAUACAUGCAAGUCGAGCGAACAGACGAGGAGCUUGCUCCUCUGACGUUAGCGGCGGACGGGUGAGUAACACGUGGAUAACCUACCUAUAAGACUGGGAUAACUUCGGGAAACCGGAGCUAAUACCGCAUAAUAUAUUUAACCGCAUGGUUCAAUAUUGAAAGACGGUUUUGCUGUCACUUAUAGAUGUAUCCGCUCCGCAUUAGCUAGUUGGUAAGGUAACGGCUUACCAAGUCAACGAUGCGUAGCCGACCUGAGAGGGGGAUGGGCAAAACUGGAACUGAGAAACGGUCCAGACUCCAACGGGAGGCAGAAGUAGGGAAUCUUCCGAAAUGGGCGAAAGCCUGACGGAGAAACGCCGCGUGAGUGAUGAAGGUCUUCGGAUCGUAAAACUCUGUUAUUAGGGAAGAACAAAUGUGUAAGUAACUAUGCACGUCUUGACGGUACCUAAUCAGAAAGCCACGGCUAACUACGUG